rnacentral:rRNA from 1 species
AAGCGUUGCUUCUCUGAUGUUAGCGGCGGACGGGUGAGUAACACGUGGGUAACCUACCUAUAAGACUGGGAUAACUCCGGGAAACCGGGGCUAAUACCGGAUAAUAUUUUGAACCGCAUGGUUCAAUAGUGAAAGACGGUUUCGGCUGUCACUUAUAGAUGGACCCGCGCCGUAUUAGCUAGUUGGUAAGGUAACGGCUUACCAAGGCGACGAUACGUAGCCGACCUGAGAGGGUGAUCGGCCACACUGGAACUGAGACACGGUCCAGACUCCUACGGGAGGCAGCAGUAGGGAAUCUUCCGCAAUGGGCGAAAGCCUGACGGAGCAACGCCGCGUGAGUGAUGAAGGUCUUCGGAUCGUAAAACUCUGUUGUUAGGGAAGAACAAAUUUGUUAGUAACUGAACAAGUCUUGACGGUACCUAACCAGAAAGCCACGGCUAACUACGUGCCAGCAGCCGCGGUAAUACGUAGGUGGCAAGCGUUAUCCGGAAUUAUUGGGCGUAAAGCGCGCGUAGGCGGUUUCUUAAGUCUGAUGUGAAAGCCCACGGCUCAACCGUGGAGGGUCAUUGGAAACUGGGAAACUUGAGUGCAGAAGAGGAGAGUGGAAUUCCAUGUGUAGCGGGUGAAAUGCGCAGAGAUAUGGAGGAACACCAGUGGCGAAAGGCGGCUCUCUGGUCUGUAACUGACGCUGAUGUGCGAAAGCGUGGGGAUCAAACAGGAUUAGAUACCCUGGGUAG